AUUGAACGCUGGCGGCAGGCCUAACACAUGCAAGUCGAACGGUAGCACAGAGAGCUUGCUCUCGGGUGACGAGUGGCGGACGGGUGAGUAACGUCUGGGAAACUGCCCGAUGGAGGGGGAUAACUACUGGAAACGGUAGCUAAUACCGCAUAACGUCGCAGGACCAGAGUGGGGGACCUUCGGGCCUCACACCAUCGGAUGUGCCCAGAGGGGAUUAGCUAGUAGGUGGGGUAAUGGCUCACCUAGGCGACGAUCCCUAGCUGGUCUGAGAGGAUGACCAGCCACACUGGAACUGAGACACGGUCCAGACUCCUACGGGAGGCAGCAGUGGGGAAUAUUGCACAAUGGGCGCAAGCCUGAUGCAGCCAUGCCGCGUGUAUGAAGAAGGCCUUCGGGUUGUAAAGUACUUUCAGCGGAGAGGAAGGUGGUGAAGUUAAUAGCUUCACCGAUUGACGUUACCCGCAGAAGAAGCACCGGCUAACUCCGUGCCAGCAGCCGCCGCGG
rnacentral:rRNA from 1 species